GUUAAACGGCUGCAGUACCCUGACUGUGCAAAGGUAGCAUAAUCACUUGCCUAGUAAUUUUAGGCUGGCAUCAACGGCUAGACGAUAAGAGUUCUGUCUCUUCUUACUGUUUUUGAAGUUAGUUUUUGGGUGAGAAACCUAAUUAAAAUAGCAGGACGAGAAGACCCUAUAGAGCUUUAGUUCAAAGCUUAUAGUUAGGUGGGGAGCUUUAGUUGGGGCAACUGUUUAUAAUGUUAAACAUAAAUAUUUGAUUAUAUAAUGGAGUUUUGUUGUUGACCUAUAAUAGUAUAAUCAUUUGAAAAAGUUACCUUAGGGAUAACAGCGUAAUUUUUUUUGAGAGUACUUAUUGACAAAGAAGUUUGCGACCUCGAUGUUGGAUCAGGUUAUCCUAGAUGUGCAGCAGCCUCUAAGGGUUGGUUUGUUCAACCACGAAAAACCUACGUGAUCU
rnacentral:rRNA from 1 species